AUAAGUGUGACUAAGCACUAAUUGAUAUGAAGAGAGCAAGUUUUAAGAGGGGGCGGCGUUACGCGAAGCUUCUUGCUUUUACGGCUCGUGUGAUUAGUUAUUAUUAGAAAGACGCUUUUAUGGCAACAGGUACCGUCAAGUGGUUUAAUGACUCCAAAGGCUUCGGCUUUAUCACUCCGGAUGACGGCGGCGAAGAUUUGUUCGCGCACUUUUCCGCAAUCCAGAUGAAUGGCUUCAAGACCCUCAAAGAAGGGCAAAAAGUUCAGUUCGAAGUCACGCAAGGCCCCAAAGGCAAGCAAGCUUCAAACAUUCAAGCUCCCUAAUUUUGCUGUUAGGCAGUGCAGUGAAAAUCCCCGCAACUCGCGGGGAUUUUUUU
rnacentral:sRNA from 1 species